CCAUCCUAUUCCCCAAACAUUAAAAAUUCUCUCAACUAAUCCUGAGUUAAUCUUAUUUAUUUUUCAAACAAGAUAAGUUCUAAAACUCUUCAAUUUGGUGGUAGUUUUGAUAUCAUGGGAAUUAUGAAUCGAAGGAAACUAGGACUAAAUGGAAAAUCAAGGACUUCAAAGUCAGCGAGGAAAUGCAGCAGACCAGCUGCGAGGCAAAUUAAUAGAGUGCCCCAUGCUCCUCCAGUCCUACAUGGUCAAACACGUAGAUUUGGGUUUAAGGAAGUUAGGCAAGACGGAAAGCAAUGGCACUCCAAACACCUCGACACCAAAUACAUACCUAAGAUGUUUAUUGAUAGUGUAAGUCUAUAGAGAAAAUGACCAAGUAUGGUAAGUCAUCUGGAGCAGCUGAACAUAGUUUUCAUUUUCCACUAGCUGCGUGAAUGCAAUUUGCAUCUUGUGCAUGAGUUUUAUGCAAAUUAGGACCCAAGGGAUGUACAUCAUGAGGUGAAAGUUCAUGGUAAAAUCGUCAUAUUUACUUUAGAGGACAUCAAUGACUUGUUGGGAAUACCUGAGGCAGAUGUACAUUAGUUAAAAUAGUUGAUUAUCACUCUGAAUUAUGCUUACAAUCUACAUCUGUUGUGUGGUACUCAUUCAUUAGCCCGAUAGACUAGACAAAAGGGCACAGGUCUUCAUUCCUCAUUACCAUAUGCAUAGAUGAACAAGGAAGCUCGCAUAUGGGGAUGAAUUAUGCACUAUUUCCUAAUUCAAGGCAAGCAUAUGACUGAGGUUACACAUAAACGGGUAUGUUUGACUUACGCUUCAUAGUGUAAUGAUGUUGCAAUGAAUGUAAUCCAUGUCAUAUUUUCUGCCAUAAAAAAGGCACGCUUCAUUGAGAGAUACUGAUAUGGAUUUGGAGGCUUAUUGACUAAGUUCAUAAGGUGGCACUAGGUAGAGAAGAAGGAAUUAGAUUAUAAGGCUAUAAUAGAUAACCACCCUAUUGAUUUUACUAGAGCCAAGAGCACAGCUGGGCCCUUAGGACCAAUUCUUACUAUGGCCGAGUGUCAAAAUUAGACUGAUGAAAUCAUGUCUAGAACAUACAAUUUUUAGAUGUUGUACAUGAGGCUUGGGGGAAGAGCAACCACAGAUGAAGAGAUUCAUGUUGUUGACUUGGAUUACCCGCUCGGUCAUCACGCCAAGACAUUGCUGAGGAUUGGACCAGAGUUUAUGGAACCGACAGAUAAUGAUAUACCUACCAAUGAAGACAGACAGUGGCAUGACUUAAAUAUUGAGUCUAAUAUUGAUGAUUAGUCUGAGGAUGUUGAUGGACAGGAUGAUAUUGAUGCAUCUAAUAAUGGUGAUGCAACACAAGUUGACAUGGCUGAUGCCUAGGUUUGCACAUACAAAGAUAGUGCUCUUCCUACGUGUGGGGUGGUCUUGCACCCUCUUCCCUUUUCCUUUUGUCUCUUGAUGUGUGAGAAAAAUCUAACAUAUUUAAUGCUUUUUAGCUCAAAAUAAUUGUGAAUUCUGAAGCAACUCUUGUCGUUUUGAUGUGUUUUCUCAUGAUAUUGCAGUAAAAGGCUGAAGGAAUGGAAAUAAACGA